UUUCAGUUGCUUAAAGCACUAUUGUUUUUGAGUGGAGAACUUCGGAUCGUGUUUGCAAGAACGGCAGCAACAACACCGCUUUAUUUCGGUUCGGUAAGUGAUUUUGUUAUAUUGAAGGGUUCAUAAUUUGCUGGAAAUCAUGAUGCACGGU
rnacentral:lncRNA from 1 species